AGUGAACGCUGGCGGUAGGCCUAACACAUGCAAGUCGAACGGCAGCACAGUAAGAGCUUGCUCUUACGGGUGGCGAGUGGCGGACGGGUGAGGAAUACAUCGGAAUCUACUUUUUCGUGGGGGAUAACGUAGGGAAACUUACGCUAAUACCGCAUACGACCUACGGGUGAAAGCAGGGGAUCUUCGGACCUUGCGCGAUUGAAUGAGCCGAUGUCGGAUUAGCUAGUUGGCGGGGUAAAGGCCCACCAAGGCGACGAUCCGUAGCUGGUCUGAGGGGAUGGUCAGGCACACUGGAACUGGGACCGCGCCCCGGCCCCCUCGGGAGGGCGCAGGGGGGAAUUUUGGGCAAUGGGCGCAAGCCUGACUCCGCCCCUCCGCGGGAGUGAAGAAGGUCUUCGGAGUGUAAAACUCUUUUGGUAGGGAAAAAAAAAUGGGUAAUUAACCCCGCGCUUUUUGGCGGUACCCAAUAAAAAAGCCACGGCUAACUUCGUC
rnacentral:rRNA from 1 species